CUUUUCUUUUGAAAAGUAGAUUCCCUUAGCUUUUCUUGAAAGCUGUCCUGAGUGAAAUGCUUUUUCUUUUGAAAAGCAGAUGAAAGCUGUCCUGAGUGGAAUGCUUUUUCUUUUGAAAAGUAGAUUCCUUUGGCUUUUUGUAAAGCUGAUUGAUUGCCUUUUAGAAAAGCAUCUGGUCCUACGGGUUCCUACUAGGAAUAGUAGAAUGCCUCUUCAAAAAAUAAUUCCGGUUCUUUGAACCUCUAUCUUUUGAAG
rnacentral:lncRNA from 1 species